rnacentral:rRNA from 1 species
CCUACGGGUGGCAGCAGUGGGGAAUAUUGCACAAUGGGGGAAACCCUGAUGCAGCGACGCCGCGUGAAGGAAGAAGUAUCUCGGUAUGUAAACUUCUAUCAGCAGGGAAGAAAAUGACGGGACCUGACUAAGAAGCCCCGGCUAACUACGUGCCAGCAGCCGCGGUAAUACGUAGGGGGCAAGCGUUAUCCGGAUUUACUGGGUGUAAAGGGAGCGUAGGCGGCGAUGCAAGUCAGAAGGGAAAGCCCGGGGCUCAACCCCCGGACUGCUUUUGAAACUGUGUUGCUAGAUUGCAGGAGAGGUAAGUGGAAUUCGUGGUGUAGCGGUGAAAUGCGUAGAUAUUAGGAAGAACACCGGUGGCGAAGGCGGCUUACUGGACUGUAAAUGACGCUGAGGCUCGAAAGCGUGGGGAGCAAACAGGAUUAGAUACCCGAGUAGUC